GGCUUUAUAGUCAAUAUUUAUUAUGAUAUUAGACUGCAAUUCUAAAGUAGGUUUAACCUAAAGCUU
rnacentral:tRNA from 1 species